GUUGGGAACCACAGGUCUAAACACACCUGGAACUCUUCAGAUUUCAGAAGCUAUGCAGUGUUGGGCCUGGUUUGUAUCUGGAUGGGAUACACCCAGGAAAUAUCUGAGAUCUCCAUGC
rnacentral:rRNA from 1 species